UACGUAGGGUGCAAGCGUUGUCCGGAAUUAUUGGGCGUAAAGAGCUCGUAGGCGGUUUGUCGCGUCGGCUGUGAAAUCCCGAGGCUCAACCUCGGGCCUGCAGUCGAUACGGGCAAACUAGAGUGUGGUAGGGGAGACUGGAAUUCCUGGUGUAGCGGUGAAAUGCGCAGAUAUCAGGAGGAACACCUGUGGUGUAGACAGCUUACUGGACCACUUCUGACGCUGAGACACGAAAGCGUGGGUAGCAAACAGG
rnacentral:rRNA from 1 species